rnacentral:rRNA from 1 species
GAUGAACGCUGGCGGCGUGCCUAAUACAUGCAAGUCGAGCGAAUGGAUUAAGAGCUUGCUCUUAUGAAGUUAGCGGCGGACGGGUGAGUAACACGUGGGUAACCUGCCCAUAAGACUGGGAUAACUCCGGGAAACAGGCGCGAAUAGCGGAUAACAUUUUGAACAGCAUGGCUCGACAUUGCAAGGCGGCUUCGGUUGUCAAUUCUGUAUUGAACCGCGGCGCAUUAGCUAGUUGGUGAGGUAACGGCGCACCAAGGCAACGAUGCGUAGCCGACCUGAGAGGGUGAUCGGCCACACUGGGACUGAGACACGGCCCAGACUCCUACGGGAGGCAGCAGUAGGGAAUCUUCCGCAAUGGACGAAAGUCUGACGGAGCAACGCCGCGUGAGUGAUGAAGGCUUUCGGGUCGUAAAACUCUGUUGUUAGGGAAGAACAAGUGCUAGUUGAAUAAGCUGGCACCUUGACGGUACCUAACCAGAAAGCCACGGCUAACUACGUGCCAGCAGCCGCUGUAA